GUUUAGAAACACAGCUGUUAAUAAUGGAAAGUUUAAGGAACUGAUCCUUGAUAACUUUAGUGGGAAAUAUCUGCUGCUUUUCUUGUAUUUCACUCUUUCCUGACCUACAGAAAUUGCUGCCUUUAGUGACAAAGUAAUUCGCUUCAUGUUAUGAAUUGUGACACUGUUGCUGUUUCAACAUAUUUCCACUUAGACGUGAAUACACACCAAGAAAGAACAGUUUUGACCACAUGAACAUCAUACUCUUAAAAGAUUUAAACAAAUUUUACAAUGUUAUUAUGUGCUAUUAAAAGACCUAGUCCUACAUUAGAGAGUCACUUCAUAAUUAACCCAAAUGAAGUCAUCAAGCAAGAAGAUGAAUGAUCUUCCAAGAGGCUGAAGGGACAGGGGCACUAUAUCAUGUGAAAUCUCAUGGGAAAAUCUCCCUGCAAACUGAACACCAGAUUCUUUAUUUCCAAAGAAUAUUCUGAGAAAGAAAUCAAUAA
rnacentral:lncRNA from 1 species